rnacentral:rRNA from 1 species
UACGGGGGGGGCAAGCGUUGUUCGGAAUUACUGGGCGUAAAGGGCUCGUAGGCGGCCAACUAAGUCGGAUGUGAAAUCCCAGGGCUUAACCUUGGAAUUGCAUUCGAAACUAUCAAGCUAGAGUAUGGCGGGGGAUAGUGGAAUUCUUAGUGUAGGGGUGAAAUCCGUAGAUAUUAAGAGGAACACCAGUGGCGAAAGCGACUAUCUACACCAUUACUGACGCUGAGGCACGAAAGCGUGGGGAGCAAACAGG